UACGGGGGGGGGCAAGCGUUGUUCGGAAUUACUGGGCGUAAAGGGCUCGUAGGCGGCCAACUAAGUCGGACGUGAAAUCCCCAGGCUCAACCUGGGAACUGCGUCCGAUACUGGAUGGCUUGAAUCCGGGAGAGGGAUGCAGAAUUCCAGGUGUAGCGGUGAAAUGCGUAGAUAUCAGGAGGAACACCGAUGGCGAAGGCAGGUCUCUGGGCCGAUACUGACGCUGAGGAGCGAAAGCGUGGGGAGCGAACAGG
rnacentral:rRNA from 1 species